rnacentral:tRNA from 1 species
GAGGGUAUAGCUCAACCGUAGAGUGUGUGCCUAGCAUGCACAAGGUCCUGGGUUCAAUCCCCAGUAUCCCCA